rnacentral:rRNA from 1 species
ACGAAGAGUUUGAUCCUGGCUCAGGAUGAACGCUAGCGACAGGCUUAACACAUGCAAGUCGAGGGGCAGCGGGGGUAGCAAUACCCGCCGGCGACCGGCGCACGGGUGAGUAACGCGUAUGCAACUUACCUAUCAGAGGGGGAUAACCCGGCGAAAGUCGGACUAAUACCGCAUGAAGCAGGGGCCCCGCAUGGGGAUAUUUGCUAAAGAUUCAUCGCUGAUAGAUAGGCAUGCGUUCCAUUAGGCAGUUGGCGGGGUAACGGCCCACCAAACCGACGAUGGAUAGGGGUUCUGAGAGGAAGGUCCCCCACAUUGGUACUGAGACACGGACCAAACUCCUACGGGAGGCAGCAGUGAGGAAUAUUGGUCAAUGGCCGAGAGGCUGAACCAGCCAAGUCGCGUGAGGGAUGAAGGUUCUAUGGAUCGUAAACCUCUUUUAUAAGGGAAUAAAGUGCGGGACGUGUCCCGUUUUGUAUGUACCUUAUGAAUAAGGAUCGGCUAACUCCGUGCCAGCAGCCGCGGUAAUACGGAGGAUCCGAGCGUUAUCCGGAUUUAUUGGGUUUAAAGGGUGCGUAGGCGGCCUUUUAAGUCAGCGGUGAAAGUCUGUGGCUCAACCAUAGAAUUGCCGUUGAAACUGGGGGGCUUGAGUAUGUUUGAGGCAGGCGGAAUGCGUGGUGUAGCGGUGAAAUGCAUAGAUAUCACGCAGAACCCCGAUUGCGAAGGCAGCCUGCCAAGCCAUUACUGACGCUGAUGCACGAAAGCGUGGGGAUCAAACAGGAUUAGAUACCCUGGUAGUCCACGCAGUAAACGAUGAUCACUAGCUGUUUGCGAUACACUGUAAGCGGCACAGCGAAAGCGUUAAGUGAUCCACCUGGGGAGUACGCCGGCAACGGUGAAACUCAAAGGAAUUGACGGGGGCCCGCACAAGCGGAGGAACAUGUGGUUUAAUUCGAUGAUACGCGAGGAACCUUACCCGGGUUUGAACGCAUUCGGACCGAGGUGGAAACACCUUUUCUAGCAAUAGCCGUUUGCGAGGUGCUGCAUGGUUGUCGUCAGCUCGUGCCGUGAGGUGUCGGCUUAAGUGCCAUAACGAGCGCAACCCUUGCCACUAGUUACUAACAGGUAAAGCUGAGGACUCUGGUGGGACUGCCAGCGUAAGCUGCGAGGAAGGCGGGGAUGACGUCAAAUCAGCACGGCCCUUACAUCCGGGGCGACACACGUGUUACAAUGGCGUGGACAAAGGGAGGCCACCUGGCGACAGGGAGCGAAUCCCCAAACCACGUCUCAGUUCGGAUCGGAGUCUGCAACCCGACUCCGUGAAGCUGGAUUCGCUAGUAAUCGCGCAUCAGCCAUGGCGCGGUGAAUACGUUCCCGGGCCUUGUACACACCGCCCGUCAAGCCAUGGGAGCCGGGGGUACCUGAAGUCCGUAACCGAAAGGAUCGGCCUAGGGUAAAACUGGUGACUGGGGCUAAGUCGUAACAAGGUAGCCGUACCGGAAGGUGCGGCUGGAACACCUCCUU